UACGAGGGGGGCAAGUGUUGUUCGGAAUUACUGGGCGUAAAGGGAGCGUAGGCGGGCUCUUAAGUUGGAUGUUUAAAACCGGGGCCUAACCCCGGCGUGGCAUCCAAAACUGGGAGUCUUGAAUGGGACGGAGGCCAGUGGAAUUAGAGGUGUAGCGGUGGAAUGCGUAGAUAUCUCUAAGAACACCAGUUGCGAAGGCGGCUGGCUGGGUCCACAUUGACGCUGAGGCUCGAAAGCGUGGGGAGCAAACAGG
rnacentral:rRNA from 1 species